CCUACGGGUGGCAGCAGUGGGGAAUAUUGGACAAUGGGCGAAAGCCUGAUCCAGCCAUGCCGCGUGUGUGAAGAAGGCCUUCGGGUUGUAAAGCACUUUCAGUGGGGAAGAAAGCCUUGGGGCUAAUACCCUCGAGGAAGGACAUCACCCACAGAAGAAGCACCGGCUAACUCCGUGCCAGCAGCCGCGGUAAUACGGAGGGUGCGAGCGUUAAUCGGAAUUACUGGGCGUAAAGCGCGCGUAGGCGGUCUGAUAAGCCGGUUGUGAAAGCCCCGGGCUCAACCUGGGAACGGCAUCCGGAACUGUCAGGCUAGAGUGCAGGAGAGGAAGGUAGAAUUCCCGGUGUAGCGGUGAAAUGCGUAGAGAUCGGGAGGAAUACCAGUGGCGAAAGCGGCCUUCUGGACUGACACUGACGCUGAGGUGCGAAAGCGUGGGUAGCAAACAGGAUUAGAUACCCGAGUAGUC
rnacentral:rRNA from 1 species